UUAAUAUUUUUCUCGAUAACACGACGUUUCUCUUGAUAUCGAUGUUGGGCUAUGUUUUGCAAAACAUCGUCUGUAGCGCUUAACAGCAGUGUAUGGAGUUGCAAGGAGAACUCACCUGGCCACCGCUGUGAAGGACAGCUCCACGUUGAGUCCGGUCUUGGCCGAGGUCUCCAUGAAGGGCACGUUGUGCUCCCGCCCCAAACGCUCCCCAUCCUCCCGCUUCACCUGCCGCUCGCUGCCGCUGCAGUCGGCCUUGUUGCCUGCGGAUUGAAGCCAAAAGUGGAUUCGAUUCGAAGCUCGCGCGAAUGUUGUCAUAGGUGGUCUUGUUGGUCACGUCGUACAGCAGCAGCAGAGCUUCGGUUGAAAAAUGCAAUUAGGUUCAGUCGCAA